rnacentral:rRNA from 1 species
GACGGAGGAUGCAAGUGUUAUCCGGAAUCACUGGGCGUAAAGCGUCUGUAGGUGGUCAAAUAAGUCAACUGUUAAAUCUUGAGGCUUAACCUCAAAAUCGCAGUCGAAACUAUUAGACUAGAGUAUAGUAGGGGUAAAGGGAAUUUCCAGUGGAGCGGUGAAAUUCGUAGAUAUUGGGAAGAACACCGGUGGCGAAGGCGGCGACCUGGUCCUUGACUGACGCUGAGGCGCGAAAGCGUGGGGAGCAAACAGG